UGGAGGCCUGAGAAGGUGGAGCAGCCCCCAGUGCUGCCUCCUACUGGUUAUAUCCUCCUAUAGUAACAAUGCAUGUG